AUGGGUAGGGGUAGAGGAAAGGGGAAGAAGUUAACUGUUACCAAUCAUGAGGAUGGUGGAAGUGGUGAGGAAGAGAAAAUUCCUGCACAGAAGAGGAGGGGAAGACCACAAAAACCACUGAAGGAUGAAAUUGAUGAAGAAGAAGUUGAAAAAAUAGAGGAGGAAGACAGUGAGAAUGCAAAAUCUGGUACUCCAAGCAAAGAAAUGAAGAGUCCUUCUGCAACAGAGAAUGGAAAGAAGAGGAAGCGAAACUCACAUGUAAAAGAGAAGGCAGAUUCUGUCAAGGAGGAAAACGGUAAUGGAAACCGAUCAAGCACUGAUGAUUCAAUUAAGUCUAAUGGAUUUCGGCUUAAUGGAAGCAGGCGGAAAAGCAAGCCUUGUCGGGCUGCCGAAGCAGGUGUUGAGUGUAAGUGAGACUAUGGGUUCUCCCAUUUGACACUACCGGAUUGUGGGGUAGGAAGUGAGACCUAGUAAAACUCUAGUUUCCUAAUGCUUUUUUGGUUUUUGUUCCUUAUCCUUUUUGGUAGUUCCUUAUCAUUGAUUCCUUUUUUAUUUAAAUUUGUGAGAAUUCAGAAUUUAUUCUGCUGGUUGUAAUUUUCCAUAAUGCUAUUAUAUUUUAUGUUUUCACUGGUUUUUGUAUUAUAUAAAUAUGCAUGACAUGUUUAAGCAGUUUCUAUUUUCUUUUAUCAUUCUUACAAAUGAUUCUUAGGCUCAAUUUGGUAAAAUGAGUAGAUCUGCAUUCUGUGCUCUGCAAUUUAUAGUUCUGCUCUCAUGAUAUUGUUUUCCCUGUCUUGUACAACAUAACUAAUAAAGUAUUAAUGUCUUCCUUAAUUUGUUGGGUUAGAAAUUUUGGUAUUUUUCCAUUCUCUUACUCUACCAAUGAUUGAAUACCACUUGAACUCAAGACAAAUCAUUUCACUUCACAUUUAGCCUUUUUGGUCCAUGAUUUGAUCUUGGGCUCACAUGUGACCGUUCUUUCUUAUCUCCAUUCUACAUAUGUUUGUGUGGGUGGAAUUCAUUUACUUUUAGACUUACUAGAUAAUUAGUCCAUCCAUAUCUUCUUACAAUCCUUUAGCAAAUGUAUAAAGCUUUCAUCAAGAGAGUGGUUAUGCCAUGUUAUAGAUAUGUUUGUUGGUUGAUGCAUCUUGAGUUAUUAGGAAUAUUAUACAAUUUUGUGAUAAAUGAAGUUUCUUAUAAAAGUUGUAUUUCCUUGUUCUAGAGGAUUAAUUGAAGAAAAAAAAUUGGUGGAGAUGAUCCAUCCAACUUCCCUAAUAAAUAGGUUCCCUAGAGAAUAUUCAAUGCUAAAAUAUUUCCACUUGAAAAUUACAUAUCUGUAAUCUAAAAGCACUUUAUACACUGCUUGAAUAGGUGAAGAGAAGCAUAGAAUGGAAGAGAAGAGACUAACAAAUUUCAGAAACCAUGUUUGAUUAAUUAAUGUAGAUGUUUUGGACUAUUAUUGUAGUUUCUGCUCUCUAGGUAGGACCUAUUUUUUGUUGAGUAAAAAUUAUAUUCACAGUUUUACUUUAUUUUGCAGUUGAAUCACAUUGGGGUUUUUCCAAUACCCUUUUGAGGUAUCUUAUGAGUUGCUUCCAGUACAUAUUUGAUGUUUGUUACAAGCUUCUUGUUUGGGUUUUUAGUAGGUUCUUUGAAAUGGUUGUGGCUUUGUUUGAGUUCCACAGUCAAUUAAUGAUGAUCUUUAGUUCUUGGCAGAAUGGGAGUACUCUGUGCCCUUUAGAUUGGAACCCAAUGGCAUUGACUCCAUUGAGUGGAUUAAACAGUCUUUGCUAGUAGAGGCUGCUUUAUAA
rnacentral:sRNA from 1 species